AGAAAAAAAAGUUGCAAAAUUAUCAUUUUCAACUCCAAGCCAGAUGUGCAUACCUGCAAACAGAGUUCUCAUUAUUCAAAUAUAAAGCUUCUCAGGAACCUCAGCUGUCAUAACCUCUGAUGAUGCCCAAACAAUGACUGAGACUGUAUAAUCUAUACCUUCCUAUACAACCUUAAUUCAGAAGAAUACCUGUAGAUGCUGUGAGCAUGAUGGGAUAUUAUACCAUGACCCAAUUUGUCACUUGAACAUUAGAGGUAGUCUUUUAAAACAAACUGGUGCCACUAUAUGAGAAGAUGGCUAGUGCUAAUUUUAAGAACAAUGUUCUUUGAGGUGCUAACUAGAUGCAACUUCUGGUAUGGAUCAGGACUAUUGUACCUUUAAUUACCAAAGAGAAGGGAAGACUUUCACAUUGACUGGUCGCCUGUCAAAAUUCUUCCUUCUGGUCAGCUCCGACUAUGAUCCUAUGCCUGCUUCCAUGAAUAGAUAUCCCAAUGACUACUUUCAAAAUUGCUUCUUAGUAAAGUAAACAUGCAUAUGUUUGUCCUGCAUUAAAAGCAGCAAUAUCGACCUAUAUUAAAUGUAGCUGCCAUAAUUCCCUACACCUUUUAAAGAGAUCAUUCAAAUUAUUAUUCAUUAAA